rnacentral:lncRNA from 1 species
GCCUUCACCUCUUGAGCUCAAGUUAUCCUCCUGCCUCAGCCUCCCAAAGUGUUGGGAUUACAGGCGGGAGCCGCCAUGCCCCAGCCUAUUGAUAUUCUUGUUGAGGUUCUCAGACAUAUCUGCAUGGCCUCACACAUGGAGGAAAGAGACCCACAGAGGCAAAAACAAGACAUGGGGUAAAAAUAGACUGGAAGGAAACACACCGAAUGAUAGUGGUUUUUUCUGGGUGUUGAGAUUACCGAGCUUAUUUUUAAAUUUCUUAGAUCCUUCAGGUGUUCUACAACGUAAAAUGCAGACAGGGUGGGGACGUUGGUUGGAGUCAUGUUUUCCCUAAUGUUCUUACUGGUUCUAAAAUCUUCAAGCUAUGCUCUCACCCAAGGCUUCACUUAUUAUUAUUUUAACACUGUGGAUUCAUAAAGAAUGGAAGCCCACACAAGUCCAGGGAAGGAAGGAAAGGCAGACAGAGGCUUAUUUUCAGGCCUGGGCAGUUGCACAGGGUCCCUUGCUUAGAAGGGCCUCAUGCUUGGUUUCGUGUUCUGUGGUCGCUGUCCUGAAAUUCUUACUGAUUUUUGAACAAGGGAUCCUGUAUUUUCAUUUUGCACUGUGCCCUGAAAAUCAUGCCGCCGUCACUAGCCCUGGGAUUCUCCCCAGGACAGGUUUCCCUUCAGCUGCUCUAAGCCUUCGCCCUUGUCCUUGUCCAACCACGGACGUGGCCAUCCACGGAGCCCUCUACGUGCCUCAGAGCAAGUGUGCUUCGGCUGCUCAGGUGUGUGUCUAGAGACUGAUAAAAACAGGGCUCGUGAGUGGGUGCGGGAGGCCCCUGUGGUCUCUGUUCACACACGUACCUACCCUCAAGGCCAUGUCUACACUGGCCUAUUUCAGAGAACCGCCCUGUGCAUCAUGGGAUGCUUUGCCCCACAUCACGGCCCAGCUUGGUUCAGUCCUGGAGCCCUGUGUCCUGAAGCCAUGACCAACCCCAGGCCUGGCCCACCUUCUUCCUCAGUCUCCUCUCCCUCAAGCCCUCCACAGGACCCAUAAACCUUCCAUCUCCAUGUAAUCCUUUUGUGUGAUCCUUCUUCCAUACCUUUGCCCAUGCUGUUCACUCUGCUUGUACCAGCAAGGUUCCUUCCUCCCCAGAUCUGCCCUUUCUAGACCCAUCUCAGAUUCCACCCUUUCUAGAAAGACUUCAGGAAGUAUUUGAGAAGGGCCUGAAGAUGCUGUGGUUGCAUAGAGGAGGAUAUGAAUCACCUCGCUUAGAGGUAUCGGGGAGGGCUCCAUGGAGGUGGUGCCCUCAGGCCAAGGAAGAGAAGAUAUCUUCCGGGCAGAAGGGAGAGUUUGACGGGCUGGUUUGAUGUCAGACAGACCACAGGAUGACUCAAGGUCCUCUUUCCUCUUCUUAAACAUUAGUUGCAGCAAGUCCCACCAUCUGCCUGAGUCUGUUUUCAUCUCCACAAUGGAGGUGGUGAUGCCCAGCACACGGAGCUGUGAUGAGGAUUUAAUGGGGAAUCCAGAGCAUUUAUGGAAGUGCCAGGAGGCCAAGAUUCUGCAUAGGGACUGCAUGUGCUGGUGGAAUCUCAGUCACCAUGUCCCACGUUGAAGGAUGUUUGGAGGGGGCUGACUUUGGUCACCCUUCAAAUCAUAAGUUAUAUGCGUCUGCCCUUUCCGCCCACACGUAAGUCUGAACCUUUUGCCAAAAACACUUUUCCCAGACUCGAAAGAAAACCCCAAAGAGGAACCUAAACCUUCACGCUGCCUGCACCGAUUGGACCGGAGUGCUCAGGCUCGCGCCAACAAGUGUUUCAAAGAAGAAGCCAGACAGUGAAGGGGGAAGUGAGGGAGAAGCUGGAAAACUCUCAGGCUGACCAAUCGUCAGCCCAUUCAUUCGUUCAUCCAUCCAUCCAUCCAUCCAUCCAUCCAUCCAUCCAUCCAUCCAUUCUUUCUUUCUUUCCUCUAUCCAUUCAGUGAGAAGGGCUGAAUAUCACCUGUGAGCCUGCCCCUGCUCCCAAGAACACCCUUUGGACACCUGUGGGCUCUGCAAGGUUGGUGUAACCCCUACAGAUGAGGAAACCAGAGACAGAGAAGUGAAGUAACUCAUGCAGGUGACGGCAGAGGGCAGAGUCAGGACUUGAACCUGGAGAGCCUGGCUCUAAAGCCCAAGCUGGAAUCUCGAUACUCUACACCUCGAUAAGUUUUUGGGAAAUGACUGACUAAACAGAUGAACGCGUUUGCCCCCCCGCCGCCCCAGAGCCCCCUUAAAGCCUACAUGUGGCAGUUUGGGCCCAUUUCCUUGGCUUCCCUCCCUGGAGGGGCACCCACUGCCAGUGUCCCUGGUGAGUGUUUGCCUGUGGGGGUACAAGUGAGGGUUCAGCAAAGGUGACCUGGUGUGAGGGGGGGGUGCCCCAGGGGGUGCAGAGGAGGGCCUCAUGAGGCAGAUUCAGAAUGAAGGUUCUGGCCCCCAGUGGAACCGUGCAUGGGCAAGGGGUCCUCAGGGCCAUUGGCCCAUAAUUGUCAGACGGGGAAACUGAGGCCCAGAGAGAGGAAGGGACUUGUCCUUAGUUACACAGAGUGUCUGGAUCACAGCUCUUAGGUCUCAGCUUCCCCAUUUGUCACACAGGGAGAAUAAAUCCCCCUUGUCCUGCCUGGGGGUAGACCCCAGGGGGCCCCUGUGCCCUCUCACACCUUCCAUUCCAGCUUCUAGAAUUCCACCAUCCAUGCACCAGCCCUGAGGGUAGGCGUUGCCCUCUUCUCACCUCCUGCUCACGCCUCUACUGCAGGAUGGGAACCAAAUGCCUCUCCACCCUUUUCCCACACCCCUUCUCUCCACAGUGAACUGAGGGGAGUUUCUGAUCCCUUAGCUCAAAGUCAGAGAAACUGAGAGGGGAGGGCUGGGUGGGAGCCGUGGGAAUGUCAUGCACAAGCAGUCGGACUCUCCAGGGGUCUGGAUCUCUCCCUUGCUGCCUUGAAGGCCCCUGCACAGGCUGUGGCACUGGCUGAGUACAGGUGCCUGAAGGCAGAGGCAUGGAUGGGAUGCUUCAUUCUCAGCCUGUUUUUGCCAGUGAAGACAAAAGGGAAGUCAUCUUCCGUUGGUCUAUGGGGACCCUGAGGUAGUAGGAGCUCGGUGAUAAUUCUAGGGACCACCCUGGGUUGUCAGGUGGGGGAGACAGAGAAGCCCACAUAGGAGGCACCAAAUGCAACUCACUCGUGCCCUUUUACUCAUGAGAGAACACGGAUCCAGAGAUGUCAAGUGACUCAGACACAGUCUCACAGCACACAGGCGGCAGAGGCAGGUAGGGGACUGGGCUUCCCUGGCAGCAGUCCCCAAGCCUGCCUGAGAGGCACAUCAGAAUCGCUUUAGGGGAUUUGCAAAACCACACCUGCCCAGGCCCAAACCCUAGAGAUUCUGAUUCCGCAGUCUGAGGUAGGAAUGGAGAAUCCUCCACAGCCUGAGGUAGGAACUGGGAAUCCAGUGUUUAAAACUCUCUAGGGGCGGUGAUUUCAGAAAACCUGCUGGCUCCAUCACACUUUGCUCAGGGACUGAGAUGGGAUGGCAUUUGGAAGACACAGGUAGGAGGAAGAGGAGGCAGUGGGGGGCACAGGGAGACCCUUCCCCUUCUGGUAAAAGCCUGUGGACGAGAGAACAGCCCGAGUAAGAUUCUGAGAACCCGAGACCCGGAUGGACCUGGAGUUUUUGUCUUGCGUAUAAUUUAGGGGGUCUGUGACACUGGGCUGGAGAUAACCGUGUCUUUCCUUUCCCUGGCCUCUAGCUGAAAUUUAGCAUCAUAUUCCAUGGCGAUUUUCCACCAGUGGAAAUCACAGGUGUUCUCUGGUAUCACAGCGGGGUCAGGGAUGACCUGAAAUAUUGUUCAUGCUCAUCACAACUGCAUGGCCCACCGCGGGGUCUUGUCACUCAGUGAGUUCUUGAAGAGGCACAGACAAAUGGAGUUCAACAAAUGGAAAACAACUGCCUUUAAUUAGCUCCGAGGACUACAAAGGGAACAACGUUAUAAUAGCAGCAACUCCAAGGAAGCAGCCACAGCUCUCAGCUCUCAGACCUGGGGCUGCCGCUCAUCAUCAGCUACAGCUAGGUUUGAUGGGAGUGCCCCCAUUUCAGGGGACAGCAGGCCCCCUUCACUCCCCGACUCAGUCCCCAUCUGCAGCAGCACAGCCUUCCUUGGCCUCACCAGGGAAGAAGAACAGGCCCCGCUCUCAGACAAGCCUUCCCAGAAGCCUGAGGACUCAAACACCCAAAUGUGUCUGGGUCCCUGCCCCGAGCCGGCCACCCAGGCAGCAGCCCUGAAUCACUCGGUCAGCCAGCGGCAGGGCAGGCCAAUGGGCUGGAGGGUAGGCAGGCAGGCAGACCCACCUCUGCAUCUCUGCUGACUGCCUCGGCUGAGGAAAGGCAGCACCAGCCCCCAACCCUGAAGUUCUAGAUCUCAUGCAGCCUCUCUGUUCUGGAACCAUCCAGAGGCACUGCCCUUAUACAUGGUCCACCCCCAGGCUCAGACAAUGAGAAUUCCACAAGCAGAGGGGACUCUAUUUGGGGCACAGAGAGGUUAAGUAACUCCCCUCCUAAGGUCUCUCAGCAAGGAAGCCACUGAGCCGUGGGACUUGAGCUCAGGGACUCUUGAUCCCCAGUCUCAGGUGUCACAGCCCCAUCUGGGCUCCUGCUAGGGAGGAGGAAGGCAGCAGGGGGUGUCUGAGGCCAGGGUGCAUCAGCCCUAAAUGCCAGACAGAGGCAGGAGAAGUCUCCCCAUGAGUCCCAGCCCCAUUAGAGGCUCCAGGUCGGGGAUCCCAGACCCCCUAUCCUUGCUGGGAGACACAACCCAGAACUCUGCAUCCCUGCAGCCACCAAAAAAGGCAAAAGCUGCCCAGAAACACUUUCUCCUCUUCCGUGGCCAAAUCCACGAACUUUCUCGAGGUCUGUCCCCCUGCCCCGUGCAGGUCCAGCUUCAGUGCAGCCCAGCUCUGUGCAGUUUUCCACAAAAGCCUGUGGCUUCCUUCUCCUCCCUCUGCUUCUGAUACCCCAGGAGUUACACACAAAAUGUUGGCGGUGGUCUCCAGGAAGACCCCUGCAUCCCACAGCUCUCCCCAGAAGUUGCCAGCAGUGACCUCCUGAGCCCAGGUGGGGAGUCCCAGGCAGGACAGGGGCUGGGGCUGCAGGCCCUGGGGCCCUGUUAGUGAAGCAGCAAGCCGAGGGUCCCUGAGAGUUUCCCUUGGCCCCUCUGAGGGCUGCCCUUUGAGGUCUUGAGGUCUUGGAGUAUCCAUCGCCCCCACGGCUUACUGUCCCCACCAGCGGAGGAUGAAAGUGCCACAGCGAUGUUCCACGCCAAGAGACCACAGAGACCACCAACCCCUCUUCCCACCUCAGGCUUUCAGAGGCCAGCGGAUUUAGGCGGACAGGCUGUGCGCUUGAGGGCAGCCAGGGCGGUCAGUGGAGGGACGUGGUCCGGGGCCUGGCCACAGCUCCCCACCCAGGGCCCUGGGCUAUUGUUACUCACCGCGGAUGAAGGUCGGCGAGUAGGUCGGGAAGGAGUCGAAGAUGCUGUUCGAUGCCAUGCCCCGCUCUGAAGAAGGCGAGAAUUUUCAGCCCUUCAGGGGGUUGGGUUGGGAUUCACUUGGUUGGCUGUUGUUUUAUUUUUUUUUCCUCUAGCUACUUUUGAAAAUAAAAGGGGGGGGUGUUGCUUUUUGUUGUUU